CAAAAGAAUGGGUGGUGGAAA
rnacentral:misc_RNA from 1 species